UAGUCCACGCCGUAAACGAUGUUCACUCGCUGUUUGGGAUACACACUAAGCGGCCAAGCGAAAGCAUUAAGUGAACCACCUGGGGAGUACGUUGGCAACAAUGAAACUCAAAGGAAUUGACGGGGACCCGCACAAGCGGUGGAACAUGUGGUUUAAUUCGAUGAUACGCGAGGAACCUUACCUGGACUUAAAUGUAGGUUGCAUAGAGUGGAGACAUUCUUUUCUUCGGACUACUUACAAGGUGCUGCAUGGUUGUCGUCAGCUCGUGCCGUGAGGUGUCGGGUUAAGUCCCAUAACGAGCGCAACCCCUAUCGUUAGUUGCCAUCAGGUUAUGCUGGGGACUCUAGCGAAACUGCCCGUGCAAACCGGAGGAAGGUAAGGAUGACGUCAAGUCAGCAUGCCCCUUACGCUCUGGGCUACACACGUGCUACAAUGGUCGUGACAAAGAGUUGCUAGUCUGCGAAGGCAAGCCAAUCUCAUAAACGCGGCCUUAGUUCGGAUUGCG
rnacentral:rRNA from 1 species